rnacentral:tRNA from 1 species
GGCAGGAAGAGAAGGUUCUCCGUUUGGCCUCAUAAGCCAGAUUUCGUAGGUUCGAUUCCUACUCCUGCAACCA